UGAAGAAUCGACUCAAAAUUUGGAAAACACAUUAUAAUGUUAUCUAUGAUAUUAAAAAUAAAAAUGGUUUGACAUGGUAGGAUGAUGAGAAGAAAAUGGUGAUUAUACCCGCUAGUGAGCAAAAAGUAUGGAGCGACUAUGUUACGGUAAUAUUGCACUUUAUACUUAUUAAUUUGAUUAUUAGUUUGUUACAUAUAUCUAAAAAUAUUUGUGAAUGUUCUUAUAUUGCAGGCUAAUCCAGAUGCAAAAGGCUACCAGAAUCGUUUGAUUGAAAAUUAGGAUGAUAUUAUGGUAUUAUGUGCAAAAGAUAGAGCCAAUGGUGAAGGUGCAGAAACCUUUGAAGAGGCUGCUAACGCAAUACAACAUGAGGAAUCUGAAGCACAAUCUGAAAUAAAUAAAGGUGUAAGCUCUUCAAAGAAACAUCUUCCUAGAGCAUCAACUAGUGGUGAGAUAAGUUCAAAGAAACAAAAAAAGGGGAUAAAAUGGCUGAUUCACUUGCAGUGAUGGCAGCUUCUGUGAGUGAGUAUUUUAAUGAGAGAAAGAAGGAAGUAGUAAGAAAACCACCAACUGGAGAGGAGAUUCAUCAAAUGGUCUUAAAAAUACCCAACUUAAGUCACAUUCAAGUGUUCAAUGCAUUUGAGAAGAUAAUGGAUAGCAACCCGGAAAAGUUUUAUUUGUUAAAGUCACUUUCUGAUGAUGAAAAAAGAGAUUUUAUUCUCUUUAUUCUUAAGGAGUAGUUUCUAGUUGGAUAACAAGAACCCCCAAAUCUUUAAACCCAUUUGAGUAAGUUCUCUCUUGGAUUUCUUCAUCUCGAUGUUAUUUGAACAAUAUUUUUGACCGAAUAUUUCUAAUUUUUUGAUGAUUUUAUUAUGAAUGCAUUAGGGUUUGGUGAUUUUGAUGGAUUCUUAGCUAAUUCAAGCAAGGAGUGAUUGUCUCAUCUUAAAGGUUUUGGGCUCAUAUAGUGAUGGUAUAUGAAUUACUCUUUUGUUGCUACGGAUAGGCUUUAUCAUACGAGCACUUCUGAAUUCUCAGUUGUAAUUUCUUUAUAUCAAAGAUACUUCUCUUCUCACAUGCUAUUCAGUUUGUAACUCUUUGUAUUUUUUCUUAUUAACAUUUCUCUUGGUAUAUCAAAGACCAAAUUGACUAUGUAAUUGUCAGUUGUACCUGCAUUUGAGAAGAUAAUGGAAUUGUUACUUAUUUGCUCUGAAGUCAA